rnacentral:misc_RNA from 1 species
AAAGUCGUAACAAGGUUUCCGUAGGUGAACCUGCGGAAGGAUCAUUACCGAGUGAGGGUCUUUAAUGGCCCAACCUCCCAACCCCUUGAAUAUCAUCAAGUGUUUUAUUGUUGCUUCGGUGGGUCAAAUGUGCCCACCGAAGCCCAACAUAAAUCUUAGUAAUAGUGUUGUCUGAGUUAUUGAAAAUAAUAAAAACUUUCAACAACGGAUCUCUUGGUUCCC